UCGGGAAUAUUGCGCAAUGGAGGAAACUCUGACGCAGUGACGCCGCGUAUAGGAAGAAGGUUUUCGGAUUGUAAACUAUUGUCGUUAGGGAAGAAAAAAUGACAGUACCUAAGGAGGAAGCUCCGGCUAACUACGUGCCAGCAGCCGCGGUAAUACGUAGGGAGCGAGCGUUAUCCGGAUUUAUUGGGUGUAAAGGGUGCGUAGACGGGUAAACAAGUUAGUUGUGAAAUCCCUCGGCUUAACCGAGGAACUGCAACUAAAACUGUAUAUCUUGAGUGCAGGAGAGGUAAGUGGAAUUCCUAGUGUAGCGGUGAAAUGCGUAGAUAUUAGGAGGAACACCAGUGGCGAAGGCGACUUACUGGACUGUAACUGACGUUGAGGCACGAAAGUGUGGGGAGCAAACAGGAUUAGAUACC
rnacentral:rRNA from 1 species